rnacentral:rRNA from 1 species
AGAGUUUGAUCCUGGCUCAGAUUGAACGCUGGCGGCAUGCUUUACACAUGCAAGUCGAACGGCAGCAUAGAGAGCUUGCUCUCUGAUGGCGAGUGGCGAACGGGUGAGUAAUACAUCGGAACGUGUCCGUUUGUGGGGGACAACCACCCGAAAGGGUGGCUAAUACCGCAUAAGACCUGAGGGUGAAAGCCGGGGACCGCAAGGCCUGGCGCGAACGGAGCGGCCGAUGACUGAUUAGCUGGUUGGCGGGGUAAAGGCCCACCAAGGCGACGAUCAGUAGCUGGUCUGAGAGGACGACCAGCCACACUGGAACUGAGACACGGUCCAGACUCCUACGGGAGGCAGCAGUGGGGAAUUUUGGACAAUGGGGGCAACCCUGAUCCAGCCAUGCCGCGUGCGGGAAGAAGGCCUUCGGGUUGUAAACCGCUUUUGUCAGGGACGAAAAGGUGCGGGUUAAGAGCUAGCACUGAUGACGGUACCUGAAGAAUAAGCACCGGCUAACUACGUGCCAGCAGCCGCGGUAAUACGUAGGGUGCGAGCGUUAAUCGGAAUUACUGGGCGUAAAGCGUGCGCAGGCGGUUGGGUAAGACAGAUGUGAAAUCCCCGGGCUUAACCUGGGAACUGCAUUUGUGACUGUCCGACUGGAGUAUGUCAGAGGGGGGUGGAAUUCCAAGUGUAGCAGUGAAAUGCGUAGAUAUUUGGAAGAACACCGAUGGCGAAGGCAGCCCCCUGGGGCAAAACUGACGCUCAUGCACGAAAGCGUGGGGAGCAAACAGGAUUAGAUACCCUGGUAGUCCACGCCCUAAACGAUGUCUACUGGUUGUUGGAGGGUAAAACCUUCAGUAACGAAGCUAACGCGUGAAGUAGACCGCCUGGGGAGUACGGUCGCAAGAUUAAAACUCAAAGGAAUUGACGGGGACCCGCACAAGCGGUGGAUGAUGU